rnacentral:rRNA from 3 species
CCUGAUGCAGCGACGCCGCGUGAGGGAUGACGGCCUUCGGGUUGUAAACCUCUUUCAGUAGGGAAGAAGCGAAAGUGACGGUACCUGCAGAAGAAGCGCCGGCUAACUACGUGCCAGCAGCCGCGGUAAUACGUAGGGCGCAAGCGUUAUCCGGAAUUAUUGGGCGUAAAGAGCUCGUAGGCGGUUUGUCGCGUCUGCCGUGAAAGUCCGGGGCUCAACUCCGGAUCUGCGGUGGGUACGGGCAGACUAGAGUGAUGUAGGGGAGACUGGAAUUCCUGGUGUAGCGGUGAAAUGCGCAGAUAUCAGGAGGAACACCGAUGGCGAAGGCAGGUCUCUGGGCAUUAACUGACGCUGAGGAGCGAAAGCAUGGGGAGCGAACAGGAUUAGAUACCCUGGUAGUCCAUGCCGUAAACGUUGGGCACUAGGUGUGGGGGACAUUCCACGUUUUCCGCGCCGUAGCUAACGCAUUAAGUGCCCCGCCUGGGGAGUACGGCCGCAAGGCUAAAACUCAAAGGAAUUGACGGGGGCCCGCACAAGCGGCGGAGCAUGCGGAUUAAUUCGAUGCAACGCGAAGAACCUUACCAAGGCUUGACAUGGGCCGGACCGGGCUGGAAACAGUCCUUCCCCUUUGGG